rnacentral:rRNA from 1 species
AGGGUUCGAUUCUGGCUCAGAACGUACGCUAGCGGUGUGGAUUAGGCAUGCAAGUCGUGCGCGAAAGCCUUCGGGCGAGUAAAGCGGCGAAAGGGUGAGUAACACGUAACCAACGUACCCCUCAGAUCGGAAUAACCUCUGGAAACGGUGGGUAAUGCCGAAUGGUCCCAGGAGAGACAUCUCUCCGAGGGUAAACGGUGCCUUCGGGUGCUGCUGAGGGAGCGGGUUGCGGCCUAUCAGUUUGUUGGUGGGGUAACGGCCUACCAAGACGAUGACGGGUAGCGGGUCUGAGAGGAUGAUCCGUCACACUGGGACUGAGACACUGCCCAGACUCCUACGGGAGGCUGCAGUCGAGAAUCUUCCACAAUGGGCGAAAGCCUGAUGGAGCGACACCGCGUGCAGGAUGAAGGCCUUAGGGUUGUAAACUGCUGUCACGCUAUAGGAACCCAUGGUCGUUAAUAGCGGCCGUGCUGACCAAAGCGAGAGGAAGCGCCGGCUAACUCCGUGCCAGCAGCCGCGGUAAUACGGAGGGCGCAAGCGUAGUUCGGAUUUACUGGGCAUAAAGAGCACGUAGGCGGCUCGCUCAGUCAGGUGUGAAAGCCCACGGCUCAACCGUGGAACUGCACCUGAUACUGGCGAGCUUGAGGACGGAAGGGGUGAGUGGAACUCCAGGUGGAACGGUGAAAUGUAUAGAUAUCUGGAGGAACACCGGUGGCGAAAGCGGCUCACUGGUCCGUCUCUGACGCUGAGGUGCGAAAGCUAGGGUAGCGAACAGGAUUAGAUACCCUGGUAGUCCACGCCCUAAACGUUGAUAACUCGCUGUUGGCGAUAUACUGUCAGUGGCUAAGCGAAAGCGUUAAGUUAUCCACCUGGGAAGUACGACCGCAAGGUUGAAACUCAAAGGAAUUGACGGAAUCA